rnacentral:tRNA from 1 species
GGAGAGGUGCCAGAGUGGUUGAUCGGGGCGGUCUCGAAAACCGUUGUCCCUUACGGGACCCCGGGUUCGAAUCCCGGCCUCUCCG